UGCAAUAAGAUUACGUUGGGGCAACCA
rnacentral:piRNA from 1 species